ACUUACACCAACAAGCGCCAGGGAAUUACGAGCGCAAGCUUAAAAUUCAAAGGAUUUGACGGUAUCCCACCCACCUAGAGGAGCCUGUUCUAUAAUCGAUAAUCCUCGAUACACCCGACCAUUUYUUGCUUUCUCAGCCUGUAUACCUCCGUCGUAAACCUACCAUUUGAGUGUAAUAAAGUAGGUUCAAGGAUCCCCCAUCAACACGUCAGGUCAAGGUGCAGCCAAUGUAAUGGAAAGUAAUGGGCUACAAUUUCUAUGAUAGAACAAACGAAAUACUGUAUGAAAAACAGUCAUGAAGGCGGAUUUAGUAGWAAARGGGGAAUAGAGAGCCCYUUUUAACARGGCCCUGGGAUGUGUACACACCGCCCGUCAC
rnacentral:rRNA from 1 species